AGAGUUGAUCAUGGCUACGAGAACGAACGCUGGCGGCGCGUCUAAGCAUGCAAGUCGAGCGGUAAGUCGGGAGCUUGCUCCUGACCUAGAGCGGCGGACUGGUGAGUAACGCGUGGGUGACGUACCCACUGGACGGGGAUAGCCUGUGGAAACACAGGGUAAUACCGGAUAAGCUCGUAUGUGUCAGAGGCAUACGAGGAAGGUUCUUUGAACCGCCAGUGGAGCGGCCCGCGGGCUAUUAGCUAGUUGGCGGGUAACGGCCCACCAAGGCGACGAUAGCUACCCGGCCUAAGAGGGUGAACGGGCACAUUGGGACUGAGAUACGGCCCAGACUCCUACGGGAGGCAGCAGCUAAGAAUAUUCCGCAAUGGGGAAACCCUGACGGAGCGACGCCGCGUGGAUGAAUGAAGGCCGGAAGGUUGUAAAAUCCUUUGGGAGCGAGGAAUAAUGAAAGUGAGAGAAACGCUUUCAGGUGACGGUAGCUUCUGAAUAAGCAACGGCUAAUUACGUGCCAGCAGCCGC
rnacentral:rRNA from 1 species